CAAUAGCGUAUAUUAAAGUUGUUGCGGUUAAAAAGCUCGUAGUUGGAUUUCUGCCGAGGACGACCGGUCCGCCCUCUGGGUGAGUAUCUGGCUCGGCCUGGGCAUCUUCUUGGAGAACGUAGCUGCACUUGACUGUGUGGUGCGGUAUCCAGGACUUUUACUUUGAGGAAAUUAGAGUGUUUCAAGCAGGCUUACGCCUUGAAUACAUUAGCAUGGAAUAAUAAGAUAGGACCUCGGUUCUAUUUUGUUGGUUUCUAGAGCUGAGGUAAUGAUUAAUAGGGAUAGUUGGGGGCAUUCGUAUUUAACUGACAGAGGUGAAAUUCUUGGAUUUGUUAAAGACGGACUACUGCGAAAGCAUUUGCCAAGGAUGUUUUCAUUGA
rnacentral:rRNA from 1 species